rnacentral:lncRNA from 10 species
CCCCGCCAGACCCUGCAAGACCAUAGAAAGAGACAAAGGAGAUAGAAGAAGUGGAAUAAGGGGAAAGAUAAGAACUGGAAAGCUGAACCAUAGCCCAGACCCAAGCAGGAGAAAGAGCAAGAAAUGCCUAUGAGAAAGCCGGAAAGAAACCCCUGGAAUUUGGAAGAAAAUGUCUAAAAGGGAAUGGCAAGGAACCUGAGGAACCAGCGUGAGGAAAACCUGGAUGAUCUGACGUCUUCCUCACUUUAUCCCUACCUGUCCACGCCUCCAUCCAUCCACCCAUCCAUCACUGAUCAAGCUCUCACUAUGUCUAUAGUGUAGAAGGUGCCACCAAAUGCAAUGGAACCUCUUGUCUCAUGUGUCUACUUGCAUCUUUAAGUUGAUACACGGAAGGCACAGUCCAAGCACAGGAUACUGGAAGCUAUGGAGGUACAGUGGCCUCUGAGCAAACUGAAAACUCUCUAUCACUAAAGGGUUGGGCAUACAGGGUAUCUCCUCUGCUCUGCCACCUACCUUGAGGAUGCUUUACAUGUGGCUAAAAGUGGAGGCAGAGAUAUUUGGAUAAAUAAAUGCUAGAGAAUUGGAAAUUCCUAGGACAAGUCAAUUUGGAUAUGUCUAUGUCAUCCUUUUUUUUCUAAGAGACACGUAACUCUGAUCCUUAAGGAGUUAGAGAGUUCCCAUAGCUUAGGGUCUGGAAGCCAUAUUCCUUUUUAUGUAACAUCCUUGAAUAUGCUACUCGUAUACCCUAAAUUUACUCUGUAAUUUUUUUUUUUUUAUUUGAGAGGGAGUCUCACUCUGCUGCC